rnacentral:misc_RNA from 1 species
AAAGUCGUAACAAGGUUUCCGUAGGUGAACCUGCGGAAGGAUCAUUGCAAAAGAUUGUGGGGUUGUAGUGGAUGUGAGUAAUUAUAUCUACUUGGCUCUAAAGCACAGGGAAUCCAAUUUGGAUUUCUCUGAUGUUUGCGCUUGUAUUGUUUGACAUGUGUAAUCAUUACUUUAAUAAAACUUUCAACAAUGGAUCUCUUGGCUCUU